rnacentral:rRNA from 1 species
GUAGGGAAUCUUCCACAAUGGACGCAAGUCUGAUGGAGCAACGCCGCGUGAGUGAAGAAGGUUUUCGGAUCGUAAAGCUCUGUUGUUGGUGAAGAAGGAUAGAGGCAGUAACUGGUCUUUAUUUGACGGUAAUCAACCAGAAAGUCACGGCUAACUACGUGCCAGCAGCCGCGGUAAUACGUAGGGAGCGAGCGUUAUCCGGAUUUAUUGGGUGUAAAGGGUGCGUAGACGGGAAAUUAAGUUAGUUGUGAAAUCCCUCGGCUUAACUGAGGAACUGCAACUAAAACUGAUAUUCUUGAGUGCAGGAGAGGAAAGUGGAAUUUCUAGUGUAGCGGUAAAAUGCGUAGAUAUUAGGAGGAACACCAGUGGCGAAGGCGACUUUCUGGACUGUAACUGACGUUGAGGCACGAAAGUGUGGGGAGCAAACAGGAUUAGAUACCCCUGUAGUCC